UUAACUAGGAAGUAAAUUCUAUAUAAAGAAUAAUGAUAAAAAAAAAAAAAAUUAUACUGUCACGUGCAUGGCAGCUUGAUCCGGGUAAGAUUGAGGACAGAACAGAUUGACGUAAUCAGCUUUCAUUCAGUUGCCCGUGUAACAACUCAUGAGCAGCAGGGCAGCGUCCUUGGUUGUCCGGAACUCAAAAUGUUAGCGGGCAGCGGAGGCUUGGGAGGCAGGGCAGAACUGGUGCAGACGAGUCAUAGGCGUUCUUGUGUCGCGUCUGCACGAGUUCCCUGCGUGAGUGUGUGACGUAAGGAGUUCCCCGGACCCCGGAUGAGAUGAACAGAUGAAGGAAAUAACAGAAUAUAAUAUAUUUCUCUUUCAAGGAGAAGCUACGCAUUUGUAUUUUUUCAGGACUGAUUCAACCUCUUAAUGUCCCGUCUCUUCUCACCGAAGUAUCUUAUUAAUUUAUGUAUUCAUUUAUUUAUUAUUUUGAUAUAGCAGCGCACUGCUUACUUCAGCAUUGUUUUCCACUUUUGCUCUUUGCUCUACAGUAUUUAGAAAACUCUCCUGCACAUCUGUAUCUCAGCUUUUUUCCUCCAAGUGAUUUGUAUAUGUACCUACGAGCAGUUCUUAAUUAGGUAAGUGUAAUUACUACUAUAGAGAAACAAAUGUUUACUAGCAUACUACUAGGCAUACCAUUGGCUGUACAGAGAGAAUAUAUAUGAAGCGUGGUUAUGCGUUCAUUUACAUAUAAUUAGACUUAAUUAGUCUGCUAAAGCGUUAGGGCAGAUUUGUGUGGUGGGGUGGCAGCGUGAUAUUGAUCGGCGGGCCUUUAUUGAGUCUGUGUGGAACAGAUAGUAAUAUUAAUUGUUAACGCCGUGCUAAGUGAUGAGCCAGGCUAGUACAGAUGAAUGAGUCAGGUUUGGAGCCAGCAGUCCGUCCCACGAGAGCGCAACAUGAGUAAACAUGAAGCAAAAAAUUAGCGACAUCACACCGUCAGUUGAACCUCCAAUCUUACCCCUUAUAUCGAUUUUUUGACGGCAUUCUUUACAAACUCUGUAUACCGUCUGAGGAAGAAACUGAUUCAUACAGGUAUCAAUUAACGAAAAAUCUAGAAAGUGUGUGUGUGUGUGUGUGUGUGUGUGUGUGUGUGUGUGUGUGUGUGUGUGUGUAGCCGGGCGGCCUUGUGUGGCUGGCAUACACCCUCCCUAGCACGGGGUCGGGCCCAUACUGACCAGUUUGCCUUGCGCUGCCUUGUUAUAGACGAGAGGAACUUUAGUAUCGAGACGCCCUCUAGGCUGCGGCGGAAAGGAGGGAAGGGAAAGGACGAUCGCUAAGUAGAAUCCAAUGCCUUAUUUGAACGGAUCCUCCUUCAUACACGACAAUAAAGAGGAUCAGAGCCUCCUCCCCAGCCGAGUCUCCGAGGGGCAAUAAUCAUUACGUUGAGUCUGCGUCCUUAUGUGUACUCGUAGCCGUUGGUCCUCGAAGUGUAAAUCUUUUAAGGAAAUAUCUAAGAGCAGAGGCGUAAAUGACCAUUGAAAACAUAAACAUGGGUACGAUGGCAUUGUUUUUCUGAUGCAGCCUCAAGUGGGGCCAAGAUAUUACAGUGGAUCCGGACUAACUUAGUACUCAUGGUGUUGACUGUACCUGUCCACUCUGUUGCCACCUCACCCCUGGACAGAAGGGCGGCAGUGCCGCAUAACCUACAUGCAUUGCUAAGUAUUGGAAGAUAUACAGCAUCGAUGAUCCAUCAUGAAAUUGAAAGCCAUCUAGGAAACCAAGCAGUCACAUAUAAAAACCUAUAAUUUUGGAAUAAUUAAGGCAAAGGAUUACAGUAUGAGCGAGAGAGAGAUGUUCCUAUUCCUAUUGACUGUCAACAUGGCAUCAAUGUGGAACAAGUACAGCCAACACCCUGAGCACCAAGCAAGGCUUGAUUCACUAUAGAAGUGUUGGUGUCUGUGACUAAAUUUGUAUAUGGUGCUAAUGAGAAGUUGGCAGAUGUCAGAGAAGAGGGACUGUGAAGCCUUGUCAAGCGUAUAAAAAGAUAAAUAAUUGGAUAUUCUUAUUUUUUAUGAACAAGCAUCAGAUACAAGUAAUUGGAUAGAUAGACCAGUAUGCUUUUUGCUGUUACCAAAGCUUCCAGUUCCUAUAUACGUACCUCUGUAGGCUGGAGAAUUCCCUGGCACAACUAAUUUUGCUCUAUUUUCUUUUUAAGUUUAUGGUCUUCAUAUGAGAAGGAAAUCUACUAUGAAAUUUUAAUAAAAAUUACCAGUUAUGCAAGAUGUGAUAUAUUUGAUUGUUUUCAUGCCGGGUACAAAUGAAGAAACUGAAUAAAAUUACAGAGGUUUGUUA